GUGUUGCUCAGCCUUUAGUUUAUAUGUUGUGUUUUGUGUACAAUAAUUUGUCUGUUUGUUUUUUUGGCCUUUUUUUUUUCUUUUUUAGUAAUGGCGUUGGCGGUUUGUUUUCGACUUCUGAGUUUGAAUAACCCUUUGGUAUUUUCCGCCUAUCUUUCUAGAUGUUUUCUUCUAUAAAUAUAGUAAAACAGAGUACUUAAAUAGUGACACUAUUUUCACUUAAUAUAAUAUUAUGAAACAAAAUUCACGGCUACUUG
rnacentral:lncRNA from 1 species